rnacentral:lncRNA from 10 species
UGCACACCAGGCAUUGGGCCAGACUCUGGGCACAGCAACAAGCAGGACAGACUCGGUCUCUCCCCAGAGGAGCUCAGAGCCUGGCGGGGGCAGAUACCCAUGAAACCAUCACUCAUGUAUUACAUACGUGAGAUUGGGCCUCUUCAUAUGGUAGUGGCGAGGUCUCAGCAUAAGAAGAGAUACCUACUCAAAGUGAGAAGGGAUAGUUAGUUGGCCACAUCGAGUUACAAGGCCAUCCAUAUUGAAGAAAGUGAAGAAAGAGACUCUGCCGCUUGACAGGAAGCAAGGCAAAAGGACAUGGAUAUGGCAGGUUGUGAAAAAUUGGGUCACUUUUGAAAACAAUCAAUUUCACAGGACUGUGCGGGAGAUAAGAGGAGCUCACAGAUGCAAACUCUCCGUGAAGCUUGUACUUGACUCAACUCAUGGACCUCUCCGGGUUUGCUCAGCUCCACUGGUUGCACCCCCACCAACACCCCCAGCCUCACUUACUUGCUCAGGGGAGCACAGGCCCCACACCAGCUCAUCUCCUAAUUGCCACGGGCUCCACCUCCCACGGGGCAACGUCUGCACCUAGGCCUGGCCUCUUACCUUCCGUGGAACCACAGCAACUCUGGUGCCCUGGUCCAACCUGACUGGUCAUGCAGAGGCUCUGGCUUGUCUCACUGUUUCUAGACCCAGAUGAAGCACUCUGCCCUGAGAUGUAGCAUGUGGCUUCCCCAGCAGCUGUCUGAAGGGGCCACAACACUUUCAGGGGAGUUAAGGCCCGUAGGGUCAAUUUGGACCAGUGAAAGACAGAUGAUGGAAAAUCACCAGGAGAUGCCUCUUUCUUCCUCUGCUAGUCUUGGCUCUCUGGAGAUGUUACAUGGCUGAGUGACCUGGUGUGCUUUGCUCUGAAGCUGUGACAUGCUCAAUCAUGCACCACCCUGUGUUUUCUUUCUCUCCUUCCCUGCUUCACUUCCCGUCUUCCCUCAGUCUUCCCCCAGCUCACACCCUGGAAUGACACACAGGUACCUGAGCUUCACUGGAGAAUCUGUGGGUUAGGUAACCUAGUCGAAGAUAAAGAGAAGAAUUUGAGAAAGUUGUCAAUUUGCAACCACUCAAAAAAUCAGAAGAAGACUGUAUCUACUGCUGGCAAGGAUAUGGAGCAACCGGAAUGCUCUCGUACGCUGCUGGUGAGAAUGUAAAAUGGAACAGCCACUUUGGAAAAUGGGCAGUUUCUUAAAACAUUAAACAUACACCUACCAUAUGGCCCAAUCUUUCCACUUCUAGGUAUUUAUCCAAGAGAGAAAAAAAUACAUAUGUCUACACAAAGACUUGUACGAGAAUGUUUAUAGCAGCUUUAUUUAUAAUAGCCUCAAACUGGAAACAACUCAAAUGUCCCCCAACUGGUGAAUAUAUAGACAAAUGGUGGUAUAUUCAUACAAUGGAAUUUUACUCAGCAAUAAAAAUGAAUAAACUCUGGAUACCCACAACAUGCGUGAAUCUCUAAAUAAUUAUGCUAAGUGAAAAAGGCCAAAGAAAGUACUGUUUGAUUCCAUUUACAUAAAAUUCUAGAAGACGCAAACAAAUCUAUAAAAACAGAAAGUAGGCCAAGGAUUGCCUGGGGACGGGGGUGGAGGAGGGGUGGGUUGUAAACAGGAGGGCACGAGGCGACUUUGGGGGCAAUGGAAAUGCUUGCCAUCUUGAUUGUGGUGAUGGUCUCAACGGACCACCUUCAUAAAGAUGUGAAAAGGGGGGAAAAUCACCAGGCCUAUAAGUGAACCCAACCAAAUCUUUAGGGAACGAUCACUCCGAUGCUAUUUAAAGCAUUUCAGUGCACAGAGAAAGAAGGAAAACUUCCAAAUUCCUUUUGUGAAACUAGCAUAAUUCUGAUACAGAAAACCUGGCAAAAGGGGCCCAUUAAUGAGUGUGCCGCUCUGCGCACACCUGUGGAGUUAUUAUUGACUCUGUAAAUCAGCUACACUGCAGUUGACCUACUUUCACAAUUUUUUUCUGUCUUUAGUUUCCAGAAAUUUAAUUGCAUUGUGUGUUCCUGUGGAUCUCUUUGGAUGCAUUCUGUUUGGGGAAAGCAGCAAGCAGGUUUACCAGAUGGGAUCAAGAGGGAAGAGGAAGGAGGCCAGCCUUGGAGGCUGAUCCCAGUGAGAGGGCUUCUCCUAGAGGGGUGCCAGGGCCAGGAGCCUCCAAGACCUGUGCGUGGGCUCACUGAUGCCCCUCUCGCCUCUCUCUGCUUGUCCCUCCCACCCUGACCCACCUGCUGCUCUCCACGCCCAUGGCUCCCACCUUUGUUUGUAUCUCCACUGUCUCUUGCCUUUUCUUUAAAAAUCUGACAGUCUCUGAGCCCCCUCUCCCUGCAAUCCAUCCUCCAUGAUGCCAGAAAUCCAAUUAUGUAACAGAGCUAGGAUCCAGCCACUCCUCUGCUCGCUUCCUGUUAGGGGCUGUGCUGCGUCUCCUUCUCCACCCCAGAAAUUUUUAUGUUGAAGUCCUAAUCCCCAGUAUAUCAGAGCAUGCCCAUAUCUGGAGAUAGGGCCUCUAAAGAGAUAGUCAAGUUAAAAUGAGGCUGUUAAGGUGGACCCUCAUCCAAUCUGACUGGAGGUCUUAUAAAAGGAGGAGAUUGGACACACAGAGACCCCAGGGCUAGGCAUAUUCAGAGGAGAGACUGUGAAGACACAGUGAGAAGGUGACCACCUGCAAGCCGAGGAGAGAGGCCCUGGGAGAACCCAAACUUGCCAACACCUUGAUCUUAGACUUCCGGCCUCCCGAAUUGUUAGAAAAUAAAUGUCUGUUGCUUAAGCCCCCUAGUCUGUGUAUUUUGUCAUGGAAGCUCUAGCAAACUAAUACUGUCCUCAUCUCAGACUCUGCUCUCCUGUGGCCCACAGAACAGGUGCAAACUUAGGACUGCACAGCCCAGCACCGCAGCCUCCUUCCCCGCAAUGCUCUAGCAACGCUGAAAGGGCUGCACCAAGUUGUUCAUGUCUCUGCGUCUCUGCAAUGCCACUCCCUCUGCCUGGGGCAGCCUCCCCUCCUUCUUGUCAACAGGCAGAGGCUCUGCUCUGCAGGUCUGACUUGUACAUCCACCACCUGCACUCAGCAUAGGACCUGGCACUGGGCAGAUGCCCCUGAAGGCUUAGAGGGAGGAAACAGAAAUGUCAGAGGGGCUGCAUUGGUGGACACAGGCAGGCCGGCUUUGUGGUCGUACCACCUGCGACUUACACAGCUUCCAAGUAUCUCUUAUUUAGGUCAAUGUUUUCUUCUUCUUCUUUUUUUUUUUUUCUUGAUGCCCAGUAAAGUUCAACUUUAUUGUAAAUUUUUUGUUUUUUGAGUCGGGGUCUCACUCUGCUGCCCAGGCUGGAGUGCAGUGGUGUAAUCAUAGCUCACUGCAGCCUGAACUCCUGGGCUCAAGUGAUCCUCCUGCCCAAAGUUU